CACAUGAAGUACCUCAGGUUGUCACACUGCACCAAAUCCAAAGAUCCAAGCGCUCUGUCGUGACAUUCAGAGAGUAUAGUAGACACAGAUGAACCGAUUGGUAUUAGGACUUUUCUUUCACUGUUUUUCUUUCAGUGCAUUGUUCUGCUCUCAUUGCAAACAGAAUACCAGCCUGGACUUCAGAACCAACAAAAGCACGGGUCAGGAGGCCGGCUCCACAACCUGAUCAGCAAACACCUCAAAGAAGACAGCAUGGGGAUGAAGAUGUGUGCUAUGCUGCACUGGAAAUCCAACAGACAUCACACAGACCAAAGAAG
ensembl:lncRNA